rnacentral:tRNA from 1 species
UUGUAGCUAAGUCUGGCAAGGCGCUUGUCUGAUACACAAGUGAUUGGAGGUUCGAAUCCUCCCA